rnacentral:rRNA from 1 species
GAUGAACGCUGACAGAAUGCUUAACACGUGCAAGUCUACUUGAUUCUACUUCGGUAGUUGAUGGUGGCGGACGGGUGAGUAACGCGUAAAGAACCUGCCCUUUAGUUUGGGAUAACCUUUGGAAACGAAGGCUAAUACCGGAUAUUAUGGAGACGUCGCAUGGCGACUCCAUGAAAGCUAUAUGCGCUAGAGGAGGACUUUGCGUCCCAUUAGUUAGUUGGUGAGGUAAUGGCUCACCAAGACCGCGAUGGGUAGCCGGCCUGAGAGGGUGAUCGGCCACAAGGGAACUGAGACACGGUCCUUACUCCUACGGGAGGCAGCAGUGGGGAAUAUUGGACAAUGGGCCACAAGCCUGAUCCAGCAAUUCUGUGUGCACGAUGAAGGUCUUCGGAUUGUAGAGUGCUUUCAGUAGGGAAGAAAAAAAUGACGGUACCUACAGAAGAAGCGACGGCUAAAUAUGUGCCAGCCGCCGCCGUAACAC